rnacentral:rRNA from 1 species
GAUGAACGCUGGCGGCGUGCCUAAUACAUGCAAGUCGAGCGAACAGACGAGGAGCUUGCUCCUCUGACGUUAGCGGCGGACGGGUGAGUAACACGUGGAUAACCUACCUAUAAGACUGGGAUAACUUCGGGAAACCGGAGCUAAUACCGGAUAAUAUAUUGAACCGCAUGGUUCAAUAGUGAAAGACGGUUUUGCUGUCACUUAUAGAUGGAUCCGCGCCGCAUUAGCUAGUUGGUAAGGUAACGGCUUACCAAGGCAACGAUGCGUAGCCGACCUGAGAGGGUGAUCGGCCACACUGGAACUGAGACACGGUCCAGACUCCUACGGGAGGCAGCAGUAGGGAAUCUCCCGCAAUGGGCGAAAGCUUGACGGAGCAACGCCGCGUGAGUGAUGAAGGUCUUCGGAUCGUAAAACUCUGUUAUUAGGGAAGAACAAAUGUGUAAGUAACUAUGCACGUCUUGACGGUACCUAAUCAGAAAGCCACGGCUAACUACGUG